GCCCAGCCAGGCCCAAACCAGGAAGAGAUCGCCAGGAGAUCUCACCGGCGAUGAGAGCUCGGCUGACGGCGGCGGGGCGGCGGCGACGGCGCGACCAUGAGAAUGAGCUCGCUAGCCCAAAGGUCUGUGCACACUUGUGUUUGCGUCUUUGCGAUGUGAUGGAAUGUUGUGCUCCUUUAUUUAGUUCUGAAAACAAAUAUAAUACCUUCUCGCCAAGAGCAUCUUGAAGCAGGAGGGUAUCGCUAGACAUCCUAGAAACUGCCUGGCCUGUUGUCAAUUCUGUAUCGAAGAAUGCAAUAUCCUGCCUCAGGACCGCGUUAAGGUAUAAAGAACGGAUGCGGGCUGACUGUCUUUCUCCUGCCAUCGUCCAACAUGACACCUCUGGGCAAGUGAAAGAUUUCAGUGACACUGCUUUUAUGAAUCAGACAACACAAUGAAAUUCCACUUACGAAGGAAGGAGACAACUGCUGCUCCAAUGCCCAA